rnacentral:piRNA from 1 species
CACGUUUACAGUGGCACCGUCAG